rnacentral:rRNA from 2 species
UCCGUAGGUGAACCUGCGGAAGGAUCAUUAUUGAAUGAAACUUCUGGCUGGAUGCUGUUGUGCUGGUCCUUUGGGGCAAUGUGCACGCCUCUGGCUGUUUGUUUCUUCUGUUCCACCUGUGCACUGUCUGUAGACACACUGUGUCUAUGAUAUAUGGUUACACACACGCAUGAUGUUUUGCAUAUUGGUUGGCAUAUUACAUAUGUAUAUGAUAUAUACAACUUUCAACAACGGAUCUCUUGGCUCUCGCAUCGAUGAAGAACACAGCGAAAUGUGAUAAGUAAUGUGAAUUGCAGAAUCCAGUGAAUCAUCGAAUCUUUGAACGCAUCUUGCGCUCCUUGGCAUUCCGAGGAGCAUGCCUGUUUGAGUGUCAUUAAACUAUCAAAUCACCUCUCUUGAGGUGCUUUGGACUUUGGGAGUAUUUUGCUGGUCCGUUUGAGCCAGCUCUCCUCAAAAGCAUUAGCUAUGGAGACCAUCAGUGUGAUAACUUUGUUUACACUGACUGAGUGUGUCUCUGCUUCUUAAAAUAUGCCCCCUUUGACCUCAAAUCAGGUAGGACUACCCGCUGAACUUAAGCAUAUCAAUAAGCGGAGGAAGUAUUGG